rnacentral:rRNA from 1 species
AGAGUUUGAUCAUGGCUCAGAACGAACGCUGGCGGCAUGCCUAACACAUGCAAGUCGAACGAGACCUUCGGGUCUAGUGGCGCACGGGUGCGUAACGCGUGGGAAUCUGCCCUCUGGUACGGAAUAACUCAGGGAAACUUGAGCUAAUACCGUAUAAUGACUUCGGUCCAAAGAUUUAUCGCCUGAGGAUGAGCCCGCGUAGGAUUAGCUUGUUGGUGAGGUAAAAGCUCACCAAGGCGACGAUCCUUAGCUGGUCUGAGAGGAUGAUCAGCCACACUGGGACUGAGACACGGCCCAGACUCCUACGGGAGGCAGCAGUGGGGAAUAUUGGACAAUGGGCGAAAGCCUGAUCCAGCAAUGCCGCGUGAGUGAUGAAGGCCUUAGGGUUGUAAAGCUCUUUUACCCGGGAUGAUAAUGACAGUACCGGGAGAAUAAGCCCCGGCUAACUCCGUGCCAGCAGCCGCGGUA